rnacentral:rRNA from 1 species
AGAGAGAGACAUGCGCGCAUAUCAAUAAGCGGAGGAAAAGAAACUAACAAGAAUUCCCUUAGUAACGGCGAGUGAAGCGGGAAGAGCUCAAAUUUGAAAUCUUCAAGGUUUUACCUUGACGAAUUGUAGUUUAAAGAAGUGUUUUCUGCUGAAGUUUUGGUAAAAGUUCUUUGGAAUAGGACAUCAUAGAGGGUGAGAAUCCCGUAUUUGACCAUUAUUUUCAGCGUUGUGAUACACUUUCAACGAGUCGGAUUGUUUGGGAAAUGCAGUCCAAAAUGGGUGGUAAAUUUCAUCUAAAGCUAAAUAUUGGCGAGAGACCGAUAGCGAACAAGUACCGUGAGGGAAAGAUGAAAAGAACUUCGAAAAGAGAGUUAAACAGUACGUGAAAUUGUCAAAAGGGAAGCGUUUGACACCAGUGUUGUUUUCUCGAAAAUCAAUUAAAAAUGGCUCGAUUUUGUAUUGCUUGAGACCUUAAAAGCUCACUGUACACUUUUCGUGUCUUUUUUAAUGCACUUUUCGUUUAACAAGUCAACAUCAGUUUCUUUUGUUGUAAAAGGGUCAUUGGAAGGUGGCUUUCUUUUCGGAGAAAGUGUUUAUAGCCUUUGGCCUCUGCAAUCGGAGAGACUGAGGUCUGCAGCGUAGACUCUUCGGGGUUAGAUACAUUUGUGCUAAGUUAUAGCUUUUUAUAGACAACUUGUUGACUAUAAUUAGUCUUGUAGCUUACUCGCUUAUGCUAUUUUACCUACGCUUAGGAUGUUGAGUCGUAGAGCACGCAG